UUCUUCCCCUGGCACCCUAACGACACAGUGUACGACCAUGCACGAUGUGUGGAGAUGACUCCUCCUGGGUAUUGGAUACUCCGUGACUGCAACUCUCCCAAGAAACCAUUUAUCUGUAAACGAGCCAUCAAUCCGUACAUAGACUCUGUGUACAAACUGGUGAAUGAAACCCCUGGUCAGGUCCAGGACCCAGCCCAGCCUGUCUACCCACAUGCCUACAAGGAGGACUUCAAGAGGUU